CCUACGGGAGGCAGCAGUGAGGAAUAUUGGUCAAUGGGCGCGAGCCUGAACCAGCCAAGUAGCGUGAAGGAUGACUGCCCUACGGGUUGUAAACUUCUUUUAUAAAGGAAUAAAGUGAGGCACGUGUGCCUUUUUGUAUGUACUUUAUGAAUAAGGAUCGGCUGACUCCGUUCCAGCAGCCGCGGUAAUACGGAGGAUCCUAGCGUUAUCUGGAUUUGUUGGGUUUAAAGGGAGCGUAGAUGGGUUGUUAAGUCAGUUGUGAAAGUUUGCGGCUCAACCGUAAAAUUGCAAUGGAUACUGGCAGCCUUGAGUACAGUUGAGGUAGGCGGAAUUCGUGGUGUAGCGGUGAAAUGCUUAGAUAUCACGAAGAACUCCGAUUGCGAAGGCAGCAUACUAAACUGCCACUGACAUUGAUGCUCGAAAGUGUGGGUAUCAAACAGGAUUAGAGACCCCAGUAGUC
rnacentral:rRNA from 1 species